CGCGCCUCCGCCACCUCCGAGGGUCGUCGGGAGCGGGCGGGGGCGGGGCCAAGCGUCCACCCGACCUCGGGCGGCGGGCUGACCACGGGUCCUGGCCCACGCGCCCUUCUAGGGAGGAGGCAGAGCCGUGUCGGGCGCCGCUGGCCGGGCUUUCCGCUACCGGGACGCGCUGGCGGACGAGUCCCUAGAAGUGACCUCGAAAAAUCGAAACGGAACGACUUUCUCUCUCCCUUCCCACCUUUUCAUAGGAGUUCACGAAACUCCAAAGACUUCCCCCGUAGGUCCACAUCCUUCCUCUGUUUAAGACUAAAAGAGCAUCAUUAUAUUUGAAGAAACCAAGAUUGAAUGUUCAUUGGCUUGGCAGUUUAACAGUGCAGUUUGGAACACGUCCCAGUUCUUGUGGAUCACAUUUACGGAAACUCUUAAAGGACUUUAAUGCCCCUCCCUAAUCCUUUUUCUACUGUGAAACCUCAUCAAUAUAUUCUCAAUGUAUAAUUUAUUAGUAAUAAGGGUUUGGCUCAUUCGAGAUUUAAAACUUUGAGAUAAGUUGGAUAUUCGGAAUAAUGAAAUGAUUUGUAAUAUGGAUCUUAAACAUUUGAAUAGCUUACCUCACUGUUUAAUACUAGUCAUCAGCUAUAUUUGAGUACAUAUUCCCCACAGUAAAACUAUUUUCAAUAAUAUUACUAUGCAUCUUUUUAAGUGCUUUAUAAUUUGGGUUUUUGAAAAUUGCCUGCACUUUCUUCCCUUAAUUUAGCCCAUUUACUCCCAAAAUAAAGAGGCUGUGUUUCUUUUCUUUUUUUAAAAAAAGCAUUGUUUAUCUGUGACAUUUGUAUCUAACUUUACUGUAUCUAAUUACACAUUCAGUAUUAUAAAAGUUUCCUUCUCCAAACUUAA